GACGUAGGGCGCGAGCGUUGUCCGGAUUUAUUGGGCGUAAAGAGCUCGUAGGCGGCUUGUCGCGUCGAAUGUGAAAACUCGGUGCUCAACUCCGAGCUUGCAUUCGAUACGGGCAGGCUAGAGUUCGGUAGGGGAGACUGGAAUUCCUGGUGUAGCGGUGAAAUGCGCAGAUAUCAGGAGGAACACCGGUGGCGAAGGCGGGUCUCUGGGCCGAUACUGACGCUGAGGCGCGAAAGCCAGGGGAGCGAACGGG
rnacentral:rRNA from 1 species